GCUUUUGCCCACAGCUAUGGUAGCUCCGGCCUUGGUGCAGCCCGGCUCCUGCCUUGCCUCUCUCCAGGUAACCUGGUUCUGACCCUCAGCUCCGAUUCCUCAUCUCCAGCUUUGGCUCCGACCUCGAUUCUGACCCUGGAUUUCGACUCCUGGCUGCUGCCCCUGGCUCUGACCCUGGGUGCUGGCAUUUGGCCCCUGGCUCUGACCCACAGCUCUGGUUCUUGGCUGCAGGUCCUGCUCUGACCACUAGACAUGACCACCCACAUCCCGCUCUCUGACACCAUCAAGCACGGAUAGUCAUUAGCCGCCUCUUCCAUCUUCUUCCUGUGUUAACCCUGUUACUACGGCACCACCUGGAACGGGACUGAUGUUCUGUCUGCGUCUCCAAGACGACAGCUGCAGACAAGAGCUACAAUCACAGCUGAGACUUGGACAUCACCAUCUCACGCAUAGGGAGCCACACUGUGAGCUGGAUGAAGAUCUGUUCUUCUGUUUGUUUCUGUUAAGAAGAGCCACAGCUCAGAAAGUGACUUCGGCAUUACAGCUGCACCAUCUUAGAUAACUGCUUACAGCAAGAGUCAUCAGGGCCGGCCUUAAGCCGAUUUGCCCGAUUCCCCUGAAUUGGGCCCCGCCCCUGACAGGGCCCCGCUCUGCAGCGUCUCUCCCGGAAGCAAAGCUCUGCGUCUCCCGGAAGCAGCAGCUGUUGCUAGGCAACUAGAGACGCUGGCCGGCUGAGGCAGAGGGGGCCCCUGGCUGUACUUGCAGGUCAGGAGGGGGGAGAAGGCACAUGUGCAUUGCAGCCUUCCUUCCCCUCCCCCAGCACUCACCUGGAGGAGACGCCAAGGGAGCUUCUGGUCUGUGGCAGACAGGAAUCUCUGCAGUGCACCUCACUCACCUGAGCAGCUGCUGGGGCUUCCAGCGGCGAGUGUCUGACCCUGCGAUUCCCCAUAGGGUUGUAAUAUUGGGCUGGUUUUGUGGUUUACGUGGUGUUGCUGCUUGAGGUCAUCCCUGCCGGGGCCCCGUCAAAACUGUUCAAAUUGGGCCCCGCACUUCCUAAAGCCGGCCCUGAGAGUCAUUAACAACCCCAGGACACUGAUAUCUCUGACCAUAAUAUCAGCAACCAGCCACUCAGUAUGGGCACCUCUUCAGUUUUACUGAAUGCAGGAUUAAAAAGAUAAGGAAGCUGCAAAGCUCAGAAUCCACAGAACUCGACCUGCCCUGACAGCAUCUGAGCCACCAUGGCAACCCAAGAUGAUGUGUAUCCAUUGGUCCUGCAGGUCUGACUGUUGGGAGCAGCUCCACGCUAGUGAAUGGGGCUACUCAUUUUAAAUAAAGACACC